ACCUGUGCUCUGGUGAUUCAGACAGCAUACAGGUGUCAAGUAAUGAUGUCACAGACUCAGAGCUGUUGCACCUUAUUACAGAGGUAAACAGGGCAACUGAUGAGAACAUUAAUGACCUUAUUGAUGACAUUGUAGGCUGUGGUUAUACUGGAAAAGUGUCUGUGGACAAAAAAGACCUUAUUACCAGGGCUGUUGUCCUGCACUC